rnacentral:rRNA from 1 species
UCUCAGUUCGGAUUGGAGUCUGCAACCCGACUCCAUGAAGCUGGAUUCGCUAGUAAUCGCGCAUCAGCCACGGCGCGGUGAAUACGUUCCCGGGCCUUGUACACACCGCCCGUCAAGCCAUGGAAGCCGGGGGUGCCUAAAGUGCGUGACCGCAAGGGACGCCCUAGGGUAAAACCGGUGACUGGGGCUAAGUCGUAACAAGGUACC